CCUACGGGGGGCAGCAGUGGGGAAUAUUGCACAAUGGGGGAAACCCUGAUGCAGCGACGCCGCGUGAGUGAAGAAGUAUCUCGGUACGUAAAGCUCUAUCAGCAGGAAAGAAAAUGACGGUACCUGACUAAGAAGCCCCGGCUAACUACGUGCCAGCAGCCGCGGUAAUACGUAGGGGGCAAGCGUUAUCCGGAUUUACUGGGUGUAAAGGGAGCGUAGACGGCGCGGCAAGUCUGAAGUGAAAGGCAGGGGCUUAACCCCUGAACUGCUUUGGAAACUGCCAUGCUAGAGUGCGGGAGAGGUAAGUGGAAUUCCUAGUGUAGCGGUGAAAUGCGUAGAUAUUAGGAGGAACACCAGUGGCGAAGGCGGCUUACUGGACAGUAACUGACGUUGAGGCUCGAAAGCGUGGGGAGCAAACAGGAUUAGAUACCCCGGUAGUC
rnacentral:rRNA from 1 species